rnacentral:rRNA from 1 species
AGCAGUCGCCGCGGUAAUACGGAGGGUGCAAGCGUUAAUCGGAAUUACUGGGCGUAAAGCGUGCGUAGGCGGCUUCUUAAGUCGGAUGUGAAAUCCCUGAGCUUAACUUAGGAAUUGCAUUCGAUACUGGGAAGCUAGAGUAUGGGAGAGGAUGGUAGAAUUCCAGGUGUAGCGGUGAAAUGCGUAGAGAUCUGGAGGAAUACCGAUGGCGAAGGCAGCCAUCUGGCCUAAUACUGACGCUGAGGUACGAAAGCAUGGGGAGCAAACAGGAUUAGAUACCCGCGUAGUCCCUGUCUCUUAUAC